CCAGUGAUAAACUGGAGGAAGGUGGGGAUGACGUCAAAUCAUCAUGCCCCUUAUGACCUGGGCUACAAACGUGAUACAAUGGCUGAAACAAAGGGCAGCGAAGCAGUGAUGUGGAGCGAAACCCAAAAAAGCAGUCUCAGUUCGGAUUGAAGUCUGCAACUCGACUUCAUGAAGUCGGAAUCGCUAGUAAUCGCGGAUCAGAACGCCGCGGUGAAUACGUUCUCGGGUUU
rnacentral:rRNA from 1 species